rnacentral:tRNA from 1 species
AAAAAGAUAAGCUAAAUAAGCUAAUAGGUUCAUACCCUAUUUAUAGAAGUAAAAACUUCUUCUUUUUA